rnacentral:tRNA from 1 species
GUCCCCUUCGUCUAGUGGUCUAGGACGCUGCGUUCUCAACGCGGAAACACGAGUUCGAAACUCGUAGGGGACACCA